GUGCAGCACAUACACUAAGAAAUUGGAACUGUAUAGAGAUUAGCAUGGCUCCUGCCCAAAGAUGACAUGCAGAUUCAUGAAGCGUUCCAUAUUUUU
rnacentral:snRNA from 1 species